UACAGAGGUCUCAAGCGUUGUUCGGAUUCAUUGGGCGUAAAGGGUGCGUAGGUGGCGCUGUAAGUCGGGUGUGAAAUUUCGAAGCUUAACUCCGAAACUGCAUUCGAUACUGCGGUGCUUGAGGACUGGAGAGGAGACUGGAAUUCAUGGUGUAGCAGUGAAAUGCGUAGAGAUCAUGAGGAAGACCAGUGGCGAAGGCGGGUCUCUGGACAGUUCCUGACACUGAGGCACGAAGGCCAGGGGAGCAAACGGG
rnacentral:rRNA from 1 species